GAUGCACGCUGGCGGCGUGCCUAAUACAUGCAAGUCGAGCGAACAGAUGAGGAGCUUGCUCCUCUGACGUUAGCGGCGGACGGGUGAGUAACACGUGGAUAACCUACCUAUAAGACUGGGAUAACUUCGGGAAACCGGAGCUAAUACCGGAUAAUAUAUUGAACCGCAUGGUUCAAUAGUGAAAGACGGUUUUGCUGUCACUUAUAGAUGGAUCCGCGCCGCAUUAGCUAGUUGGUAAGGUAACGGCUUACCAAGGCAACGAUGCGUAGCCGACCUGAGAGGGUGAUCGGCCACACUGGAACUGAGACACGGUCCAGGCUCCUACGGGAGGCAGCAGUAGGGAAUCUUCCGCAAUGGGCGAAAGCCUGACGGAGCAACGCCGCGUGAGUGAUGAAGGUCUUCGGAUCGUAAAACUCUGUUAUUAGGGAAGACCAAAUGUGUAAGUAACUAUGCACGUCUUGACGGUACCGAAUCAGAAAGCCACGGCUAACUACGUG
rnacentral:rRNA from 1 species